GCGGAUGUGGCGGAACUGGCAGACGCGCUAGAUUCAGGUUCUAGUUGGGGCAACUCAGUGGAGGUUCAAGUCCUCUCAUCCGCACCA
rnacentral:tRNA from 1 species